rnacentral:rRNA from 1 species
UACGUAGGGGGCUAGCGUUGUCCGGAAUCAUUGGGCGUAAAGAGCUCGUAGGCGGUGUGUCACGUCGGCCGUGAAAACCUGGGGCUUAACUCUGGGCGUGCGGUCGAUACGGGCAUCACUAGAGUUCGGCAGGGGAGACUGGAAUUCCUGGUGUAGCGGUGAAAUGCGCAGAUAUCAGGAGGAACACCGGUGGCGAAGGCGGGUCUCUGGGCCGAUACUGACGCUGAGGAGCGAAAGCAUGGGUAGCGAACAGG